UACGUAGGGCGCAAGCGUUGUCCGGAAUUAUUGGGCGUAAAGAGCUCGUAGGCGGCUUGUCACGUCGAUUGUGAAAGCCCGAGGCUUAACCUCGGGUCUGCAGUCGAUACGGGCUAGCUAGAGUGUGGUAGGGGAGAUCGGAAUUCCUGGUGUAGCGGUGAAAUGCGCAGAUAUCAGGAGAACACCGGUGGCGAAGGCGGACUCUGGGCCG
rnacentral:rRNA from 1 species